rnacentral:rRNA from 1 species
AUACAGAGGGUGCAAGCGUUAUUCGGAAUUACUGGGCGUAAAGCGCGCGUAGGCGGAUGAUUAAGUCAGUUGUGAAAGCCCUGGGCUCAACCUAGGAACUGCAUCUGAUACUGGUCGUCUUGAGUUUAAGAGAGGGAAGUGGAAUUCCAGGUGUAGCAGUGAAAUGCGUAGAUAUCUGGAGGAACAUCAGUGGCGAAGGCGACUUCCUGGCUUAAAACUGACGCUGAGGUGCGAAAGCGUGGGUAGCGAACGGGAUUAGAUACCCUAGUAGUCC